GAUUAUUGUGUGGCCCAACAAAAAGAACACUACAAGCGAAAGUUAAACCUCAAACAAUGUGGCGGUGCUUAACUCCUCAUCAGGGGAUCGUGUGUCUUAAUUCGAUAAUCCACGAAAACCCAAGCUUUUCUCGUGUUUUAGCUUGUGUAUGGCCGUUUAAGCUUGCUCAAAAAAGAUUUAAAAGGAAGCAAUGGAGACCACUCUCCAUAAUUCAGGUGACAUACAGCCAAUGAAAAGCGGAUUCAUGGGAUACAAAUAAACACACUACCAGCCCUAAGCCUAAAAACCUUAGCAAAGGAGGACUUGAAAGUAAGGCUUUAAUUCACAAUACUAGCCUGAACAAGAACUUAAGCGCGCACAAAU
rnacentral:rRNA from 1 species